AUGACCACGCACCAUUCUUCAUCACUCACCUUAUCGUCUCCUUCGAGAUCGCGAUUUCAUCUCACUCAGCCUUACUCCGAUUUCUUUUUCGUUUGGCUUCGUCUCAGGUAUGCGUAUUUUUCGUUCUCGCCUCUGUCCUUUUCUACAUUUCUUUGUGUUGAGUUGUUUGCGAAUCAUGAUAUUGAUGUUCGUUGCAUAAAUUUGUGA